AUCUUUUUGUAGUUCAUAAGCAAGAUAAUUGGUUAUUCACAUGCAUGUGUGAGAUGUGCCUCCCUCAAACCUUGUAACAACAUUGGCACAUUACCUGUCUGAUG
ensembl:snoRNA